rnacentral:RNase_P_RNA from 2 species
AGAGUUGGCGAGGCGGUUGCGGGCUCGCUUUUAUGGCGAGUCUGAGGAAAGUCCGGGCUCCUAAGGACCAGAUCGCUGGGUAACGCCCAGUGCGAGCGAUCGCGAGGAAAGUGCCACAGAAACAUACCGCCGCUGGGCUUGCCCGUGCGGUAAGGGUGCAAAGGUGCGGUAAGAGCGCACCAGCAGCAUCGUGAGGUGCUGGCUCGGUAAACCCCGGUUGGGAGCAAGGUCGGAGGAGCAAUGGUUGGUCUUUUCCCAGCUCCGAAGAAGGCGUACCGCUUGAGGCGUGCGGUAACGCGCGUCCCAGAUAGAUAACUGCCCUCGGGCUCGUCCCGAGAACAGAACCCGGCUUAUGUCCGGCUCUCUUU